UUCUGAGUGAUUCUGUAGACAGUGUUUGUUCUGUCCACAGGUGCUCAGAGAGAGAGAGAGCAGACAACAGCCACUCUGUCUCUGCUAAACAUCUUCAAGGUCCCUGUGCUGGUAUAAACGUCUGACAAGAGGAGCUUCCCCAUGAGACACUCAUCGGGAUGCUGGCGAGGUUCCGGUGUGCAGCACCACGGCUGGAGCAUGGCGGUGACAUGGCGGCGACAGACUUGUGUGCAGAAGGACUCGUUGCACUCGUUGUUCCUUUUUCCUAUGCAUAUACUUCUUUGAGAUGUGGCUUUAAAGAGGCAUAAGGCAUGGGAAAAUGGGGCUGCAGAGGUUUUCUUCAGAGCAGACAGCAGGUCCAUCAUCAGCCCUGAGACACACACACACAAAUUUGUAUUGCUGUUGUUUUCUCUUUUUGUUCAUUUUUGAAUGUUUCUGUUAUUUUCUGCUCUCUGAAUAAAGAUGUUGUAAAUGUC